CCUACGGGACGCAGCAGUAGGGAAUAUUGCACAAUGGGGGAAACCCUUGUGCAGCGACGCCGCGUGAGUGAAGGAGUAUUUCGGUAUGUAAAGCUCUAUCAGCAGGGAAGAAGAAAGACGGUACCUGACUAAGAAGCCACGGCUAACUACGUGCCAGCAGCCGCGGUCAUACGUAGGGGGCAAGCGUUAUCCGGAUUUACUGGGUGUAAAGGGAGCGUAGACGGCUGGGCAAGUCUGAAGUGAAAGCCCAGGGCUCAACCCUGGGACUGCUUUGGAAACUGUGGAGCUAGAGUGCUGGAGAGGUAAGUGGAAUUCCUAGUGUAGCGGUGAAAUGCGUAGAUAUUAGGAGGAACACCAGUGGCGAAGGCGGCUUACUGGACAGUAACUGACGUUGAGGCUCGAAAGCGUGGGGAGCAAACAGGAUUAGAUACCCUUGUAGUC
rnacentral:rRNA from 1 species